rnacentral:rRNA from 1 species
CCUACGGGUGGCAGCAGUGAGGAAUAUUGGUCAAUGGGCGAUAGUCUGAACCAGCCAAGUAGCGUGAAGGAUGACUGCCCUAUGGGUUGUAAACUUCUUUUAUAAGGGAAUAAAGCGCGGCACGUAUACCGUUUUGCAUGUACUUUAUGAAUAAGGAUCGGCUAACUCCGUGCCAGCAGCCGCGGUAAUACGGAGGAUCCGAGCGUUAUCCGGAUUUAUUGGGUUUAAAGGGAGCGUAGAUGGGUUGUUAAGUCAGUUGUGAAAGUUUGCGGCUCAACCGUAAAAUUGCAAUUGAUACUGGCAGUCUUGAGUACAGUUGAGGUAGGCGGAAUUCGUGGUGUAGCGGUGAAAUGCUUAGAUAUCACGAAGAACCCCGAUUGCGAAGGCAGCCUACUAAACUGUGACUGACAUUGAUGCUCGAAAGUGUGGGUAUCAAACAGGAUUAGAUACCCGAGUAGUC